rnacentral:miRNA from 1 species
ACAUUCGAUCGGCAACUCAUG